rnacentral:rRNA from 1 species
GACGAACGCUGGCGGCGUGCCUAAUACAUGCAAGUAGAACGCUGAAGAGAGGAGCUUGCUCUUCUUGGAUGAGUUGCGAACGGGUGAAUAACGCGUAGGUAACCUGCCUUGUAGCGGGGGAUAACUAUUGGAAACGAUAGCUAAUACCGCAUAACAAUGGAUGACACAUGUCAUUUAUUUGAAAGGGGCAAUUGCUCCACUACAAGAUGGACCUGCGUUGUAUUAGCUAGUAGGUGAGGUAAUGGCUCACCUAGGCGACGAUACAUAGCCGACCUGAGAGGGUGAUCGGGCACACCGGGACUGAGACACGGCCCAGACUCCUACGGGAGGCAGCAGUAGGGAAUCUUCGGCAAUAGGGGCAACCCUGACCGAGCAACGGCGCGUGAGUGAAGGAGGUUUUCCGAUCGUAAAGCUCUGUUGUAAGUCAAGAACGGGUGUGAGUGUGGAAAGUUCACACUGUGACGGUAGCUUACCAGAAAGGGACGGCUAACUACGUG